ACUGUCAGUGAUGCUUUUUAACCUACAUUGCUUGAGUAACUACAAUGAUAACUCACAUUACCAUCUGAGACAGU
ensembl:snoRNA SNORD33 Small nucleolar RNA Z195/SNORD33/SNORD32 family